rnacentral:lncRNA from 1 species
AACUGCAGGAGUGCUCCAAGCCCCUGGGUGGCUCCUGGCAGCCUCCUCUCCAGAGUGAUGUCAUGGGACACAUUUAGCCUGGCCUCCUGCAGAAUGUCGCAUCCGGUUACUUUUCCUACAGAUGUCUCUGCUCCUUGCGAAUUUUUUUGAUUCAAAAACCUAUGUAGGAGCUGUGACUGAUUACAGCUUAACUGAGUAUUUUUCUGUUUUCCUGAGUGUGACUUGGCUUCUCCUGAGGGAUGGAAACAGGAAGGUCCUGUGCCUGGCUGUGGGAUCAUGGCCAGGUCUCUCUCCUCUCCAGUGGGUAAGGAGAUUUGUUCUUUUCUGUCCUGGGUUCCCAAGGUCUCCUUCCUUCUUUGUGGGUUCUCCAUUCAUGGACCAUCUAUGGGCAGCUGUGACUCUGAGGCUUCUAGACUUCUUGAGUGCCACAGUCAUGGAACCCAGCAGGAAGGAACCUAGAGUCAUGCUGUAGGGUGGAGGGAGCAGGCGGCCUCUUAGACAUUCCUCUUGGUCAGCAACAAUGGUGGGCAACUCUGUUCACACUUAUUUCCACCCACACUAGCAUCUUUGAGGGCUAGCAAUUGUUUUCAACCCUAGCUCAGGGUCUGGCCCAGUGAGUACAGAGACCACUAUCCCUUUUGGCAGGGCAGAACAUCUGCUCAGGCCACAGAGCAGUUCUGGCCUCCUCCUAUCCAUUCAUUCUUUUAGCUUAUGUCCACCUCUAGGUACCCUUUGUCUGGCCUCCUGCUGGAACUUGGAGGCAGGUAAGACAAAUCAGAAACAACAAUAGCCGUAGUCUAGCAUGGUGAGCUUGGUGACAGAGGACUGAUCCUAUUCUAACCAGGGCAAGGUCUCCUAGUCGAGGAAAUAUUCAACCUGAACCAUAAAUAUUUGUGUGAGAGUUUGCCAGGCUUCAAAGUGGGGCAGAGUAUACCAUUUCUAGACCUGUGUCUGUUUCUGUCAUGCCAUGCAGCCCUGGGUAAGCUUCUGCCCCUUUCUGUGUUCAUUGGUACAAGGAAGUGCUGAUCCAGAGACUUCAAAACCCAUUAGGCAAGACUCUGCUGCCUUUUUUAUCAUCACAGUUGAAUGGUCACCCUCUAGGCCUGAAAGACACAGUGUCCACUGCAUUCUGUCUGUUAGUGGCUCUAAGAAACAGCGUAAGAUGAGCUCAGCCAUUAUGGGUUCAGGUUUUCCUGCUCCUACAACAUCUGAAAUAUUUUUCUUCUCUGACAUUGUCAUUUUUCUUCUCUGACAUUGUCGGGGGGCUCAGUUAUUUGUAUCUCCCAGGCCUUUUUGAACACUUAUAUUUUGUUAGUGUCUCACAUUGUAAUUAUAUCUUUCCAAUGAAGCUCAGAAAAUUCUCUUUUUCAGCCUCUCUUAGGCUGGCCCUUCCUAAGGAUCUUAGAAUUUUUCAGUGUGAGAUGCCUCUAUGAGUCUUUGAUCCCAAAGCUUGUAAUAUAGUGCUAUAUAUAGCAAUAUAGUGCUAUAUUCUAUAUUCAAUAUAGAAAUAAGGGCAGCCAUCUUAGCACAAGGAUGGUAGCAGAAGCAAUGGUUGACAGAUGAUUCUGGGAAUUAUUACUGAAAGAUGAAAUUUGAGGCUCUUUCUUUCUUUCUUUCAGUACCAGGGAUUAUUGAACCCAGGGGCACUUUACCACUGAGCCACAUCUCCAGCCCUUUUUUAUUUUGUUAUUUUGAGAUAGGGUCUUACUAAGUUUCUUAGGACCUCAUCAAGUUGCUAAGGUGGGCUUUGAAUUUGUAAUCCUCUUGCCUCAGCCUCUCUUGUUGCGGGGAUUACAGGCAUGAGCCAUCACACCUGGCUUGAGGCUGUUUCUUGAGCCUUCCCAAAAUGCUGUGAACCACCUAGCACUCUUUAUUUAGCAUGCUCCUUUUCUGCUUAAAACAGUCAUUUAAUAGGAUUUUGUUUUUUAGGGUCCAGAACUCAGAUUGACCUCCUCACUGUCUCACUGCUAAGCCCUCUAGAGUUUGUGGCUAUAGGGUUAGGGACACAGCACAACACAUCUCCUGUCCCCAUAACUGCAUACACUAGUAAUUGGAGGCUCUGGCUGGUGAAACCAGAUCUUUGCUCUCCUUUAUUUUGACAACCACAAAUCUAGAGAACUGAUCCCAAAUCUUGAAAUUCAGCAAAGAAUCUACUCAAGAUAGCUGCCCUGUCUAGAGCAAAGGCUUUGAAGACAAGAUGAAAUGGUUGGAGACUGGUAAACACUCAAUGCAUGGACCCCAACCAAAGAUUAAUAACAUUUUUCAAUUUGGAAAAUAUAGAAAAAAUAUGAAUUGAAAUCACUUGUAUUCUAUCCCCCAAAGAUAAUAACCAAUACAAUUUUGCAUAUUUUCUGAUAACAAUAGCAUCUCACAUUUAUAUAGUGUUUAGUAUAUGCCAGGCAUUAUUUCUAGACACUUUACAUGUUAUGGACUGGCUUGUGUUCCUCUCAAUUCAGAUGUUGAAGCCCUAACCCUCAAUGUGACUGUAUUUAGAAAUAGAGACUUUAAGGACACAAUUAAGGUUAACUGAGUUCAUAAAGGUGGAACACUAAUACAAAAGAACUAUUGUGGGCUGGGGAUGUGGCUCAAUCGGUAGCGCGCUCACCUGGCAAGCGUGUGGCCCAGGUUGGAUCCUCAGCACCACAUACAAACAAAGAUACUGUGUCCGCUGAUAACUAAAAAACAAAUAUUAAAAUUCUCUCUGUCUCUCUCUCUCUCUUUAAAAAAAAAAAAAAAGGACUAUUGUCCUGAUAAGAAGAGACACCAGAAAUAAAGGUCACGUGAGGACACCAAGGGAAAGAAGUCAUCUGCAAGCCCAGGAGAAAGGUCUCAAAAGAAACCAACUCUGACAUCACACUGAUUUUGGAUUUCCACCCUCCAGAUGUGUGUAAAUAAAAUUUUUUUGUUUAAGC